ACAGACCCAAAACAAUAUUAACGGCGUAAAGCACGACCAAAUAUUAGUCCACCCGUUAGAAACAAGCCCAAACCGGGCUGUAAAAAGCCAUAAGCCCCAGCAAUCAAUAGCUCUAACGACAGACAACUUCCACUCGUGAAAGUUAGGACACAAACUAAGAUUAGAUACCUUACUAUGCCUAACCAUAACACAACACCAUACUACCAACUGUUCGCCAAAUAACUACGAGUUAAAACUUAAAACUUAAAAGACUUGACGGUAUCUCACAUCAACCUAGAGGAGCCUGUUUAAUAAGCCGAUACCCCACGAUUAACCCAACCCCCGCUAGCCCACAGUCUAUAUACCGCCGUCGCCAGCCUACCCUGUGAAAGAAACAAAGUAGGCCAAACAGCCACACACUAAAACGACAGGUCGAGGUGUAACUUAUGCGAGGGCCAAAAUGGGCUACAUUUUCUAACCAGAACACACGGAUAAACUAUGAAACAAGAAACUGAAGGAGGAUUUAGCAGUACAUUAAAGACAAAACAUCUAAUAGAAGCCAGCAAUGAAAUGCGUACACACCGCCCGUCAUCCCUGCCAACUCAACUUAAAUAUUCAUAAAAACACACCACAUCUAAAA
rnacentral:rRNA from 1 species